rnacentral:rRNA from 1 species
AUUGAACGCUGGCGGCAGGCCUAACACAUGCAAGUCGAACGAGUGGCGGACGGGUGAGUAAUGUCUGGGAAACUGUCCGAUGGAGGGGGAUAACUACUGGAAACGGUUGCUAAUACCGCAUACCAUCGGAUCUGUCCAGAUGGGAUUAGCUAGUAGGUGGGGUAAAGGCUCACCUAGGCGACGAUCCCUAGCUGGUCUGAGUGGAUGACCAACCACACUGGAACUGAGACACGGUCCAGAAUCCGACGGGAGGCAGGAGUGGGGAAUAUUGCAGAAGGGGCGCAAGCCUGAUGCAGCCAUGCCGCGUGUAUGAAGAAGGCCUUCGGGGUGUAAAGUACUUUCAGCGGGGAGGCGUUACCCGCAGAAGAAGCACCGGCUAACUCCGUGCCAGCAGCCGCGGUAAUAC